rnacentral:tRNA from 2 species
UCUAAUAUGGCAGAAUAGUGCAAUGAAUUUAAGAUUCAUAUAUAAAGAUUCAUCUUUUAUUAGAA